rnacentral:rRNA from 1 species
GACGAACGCUGGCGGCGUGCUUAACACAUGCAAGUCGAACGGUAAGGCCCCUCGGGGUACACGAGUAGCGAACGGAUGAGUAACUCGUGGGCGAUCUGCCCUGCACUUCGGGAUUAGCCUGGGAAACUGGGUCUAAUACCGGAUAGGACCACUGCCUGCAUGGGUGGUGGUGGAAAGCUUUUGCGGUGUGGGAUGGGCCCGCGGCCUAUCAGCGUGUUGGUGGGGUGAUGGCCUACCAAGGCGAGGACGGGUAGCCGGCCUGAGAGGGUGACCGGCCACACUGGGACUGAGAUACGGCCCAGACUCCUGCGGGAGGCAGCAGCGGGGAAUGUUGCACAAUGGGCGCAAGCCUGAUGCAGCGACGCCGCGUGAGGUAUGACGGCCUUCGGGUUGUAAACCUCUUUCAGCACCGACGAAGCGCAAGUGACGGUAGGUGCAGAAGAAGGACCGGCAAACUACGUGCCAGCAGCCGCCGUAA